GUGCUGUGAAGGAUGGAGCAAGGCCCUGGCUGCUGGGGCUGCACCAGAGGCUGUGGUUGCAUUGCAGAGAUAGCACAUCUUCAAGCAAGCAGCAAAGAGAAGAAUAAUAAAGGAUCUGUACUCUCAGCAAGAGUAUUUACACGCUAAAUUGAUACACGAAUCUACAGGGCUGUCAAUUAUGUUCCAAGCAUGCUUGAAGCAAUGGGCGUGAAACCUGUGCAACCAGCUACUUGUCACCAAAGCUUUUACUCAUUUUGCAAAGAAAGCAAAUAAAAAGAAUUGUUAUUAGUAACAACGGCUGAGAUUCACUCGAGCUGAUCUGGGAAAAUGACAGUUUUCCAGCCAAACGUUUGCUUGUGGAUCUGAAGCUUCACCCAGUGACACACGGAACACUGUCACAGUCAACAGGACGCAGCUGUCAGACAGGUUUUGUGCUUUCUGGCCAGGGCACACUUAGCAGGGUCUGAGCCCUAAGAUGAGUGAAAUAACGCACAUGUUCUGCUGUUUGGCCUUUGGACUGUACUGCUCAAAUAUAUCUGUAUCUUUAUCUAUGUAUUCCCAGGACCCACUAAAUGCUACCAUAUUGGAAAGGAUUUUUUACUGUUGAUUAUGUAUGUCGUAUUACACGUCACUGUUUAUACUGACCACUUCAUUCUGAAAAAAAAACCAACCAAACUUAUCGUUAUUAUACAUAUCAUAUACUUAUUAUACAUAUUACUAAAACUACCACACUUCCUAUUAUCAAAACUUUUGAAGCAGUAUUUCAUUAGCUUUUUUUAAUAACGCUUUCAUCUCCCUCCCACCCUUGAUCAAGGAAUUGUUUGUAGGACUGCUGCUGGCUGGUUCUAAAGCCACUGUUGUUAUUUGGGUGGGGAGGAAAGGAGGACCACACACAGAUCUAAAGCAUACUUUGAUAAGUCAGAUUUCAAUCCAGUUUACAUUACUGAUGUUCUUUUUUUAUUUUUUUUUUCCAGCAAACAAUAAAUAGUUACACUGUUUUGAUUUACAGAUGGGUACUGCUUCUCGGUGAUAAAAAUAUUAGUAGCCUAUACUGACAUCACAACUGGCCUGUAAACAAGAAGGUUUAAAACAUCUCCCUAUCUACUUGUGCGGCUUCUGUUACCACUGAGCGCCCGUCAGUCUGAACUAAUGUACCCUCAUAAGAACUACAGCACGCAAUGACCAUCAGUACCAGGCACGGACAGGAAACUGAGGCACACUGCUGGCCUCUGCUGUACAAGUAAGGGGCACUGAUUUCCCUGCCUCACCCUUCAGCCUGCAAGGGUCAGUCCUCGGGGGCUGCAGCACCAGGGCAAGCCGGUUUUGAACACAGACACGCUGUCUGUUCUGAUUAGAGUGGGUUGUGUGGAGAACGGAAUGUAAGAUGUACAGGUCAAGAAAGAAGAAAAAAACUGUCCGAAGGGAAAAAUUAAAAAUAAAAAAGCUGUGUCUGUUUGCAGCACCAGGUGUGCCUGUGGCUGCUAAGAGAGACCACAGUACUUGUGGCAGUGUUUUCCUGCCAUGGUCCAACUCAGAAAAACUCAGAGAAACUGGGGCCAACGCACUGGCAAUGGUCCGCUGGUGUCUGCUGAGGUACUGCAGAAGGGAGUAUUUGUGAUGUUAACA
ensembl:lncRNA